UAAUACAUGCAGUCGAACGCUUCUUUCCUCCCGAGUGCUUGCACUCAAUUGGAAAGAGGAGUGGCGGACGGGUGAGUAACACGUGGGUAACCUACCCAUCAGAGGGGGAUAACACUUGGAAACAGGUGCUAAUACCGCAUAACAGUUUAUGCCGCAUGGCAUAAGAGUGAAAGGCGCUUUCGGGUGUCGCUGAUGGAUGGACCCGCGGUGCAUUAGCUAGUUGGUGAGGUAACGGCUCACCAAGGCCACGAUGCAUAGCCGACCUGAGAGGGUGAUCGGCCACACUGGGACUGAGACACGGCCCAGACUCCUACGGGAGGCAGCAGUAGGGAAUCUUCGGCAAUGGACGAAAGUCUGACCGAGCAACGCCGCGUGAGUGAAGAAGGUUUUCGGAUCGUAAAACUCUGUUGUUAGAGAAGAACAAGGACGUUAGUAACUGAACGUCCCCUGACGGUAUCUAACCAGAAAGCCACGGCUAACUACGUGCCAGCAGCCGCGGUAAUACGUAGGUGGCAAGCGUUGUCCGGAUUUAUUGGGCGUAAAGCGAGCGCAGGCGGUUUCUUAAGUCUGAUGUGAAAGCCCCCGGCUCAACCGGGGAGGGUCAUUGGAAACUGGGAGACUUGAGUGCAGAAGAGGAGAGUGGAAUUCCAUGUGUAGCGGUGAAAUGCGUAGAUAUAUGGAGGAACACCAGUGGCGAAGGCGGCUCUCUG
rnacentral:rRNA from 1 species